rnacentral:rRNA from 1 species
GGGUGCGAUCAUACCGGCGUUAAUGCACCGGAUCCCAUCAGAACUCCGCAGUUAAGCGCGCUUGGGCUAGAGUAGUACUGGGAUGGGUGACCUCCCGGGAAGUCCUAGUGUUGCACCCUC